GCCGCCCCGGAGCUCUUCCGCGGGAGAGCGCCGCGCCCAGGCUCCGCCGGGCCCGGGCUCUGCCCGCGGCCGGGGCUCCGCCGGGGCCGGGCUCUGCCCGCGGCCGGGGCUCCGCCGGGGCCGGGCUCUGCCCGCGGCCGGGGCUCCGCCGGGGCCGGGCUCUGCCCGCGGCCGGGGCUCCGCCGGGGCCGGCGCGCACCGUGGCACCUCCCCGCUCCCUCCACGCCCCGCUGCGGCGGGCGAGGCUGAAUAAAGAGACGCCGAUCGUGCCCGGCAGAGAGGAGACGAGAGGGAUGGUGGCAGAGUGAGCCGUGAGAACAAUUUCUCUACGAGAAUGAGGGGCUCCUGCCAGCAGCCAAGGAUCGCCGUUAGCAGCGGCUGGCACGCUAAUACUGGUACCCGGAAUCCCUGAAGGCUCCUGCGAGAGCAUCUUUCCGCUAGACAUGAAGGAGUAUCGGCAGGCAGCGGAUGCUGAGAAACGCAAAUUGCACCGUCAGGCAGACAUGAAAGAAAAAAAAAAAACCCAAACGUUCUUUUGGCGCGUGAACAAAGCCCUCGGCAAUAACUGCGCUGGGAGGAAGGGGAGCUGGAGCCGCCGCUUGCUGUCCCCACUGAGGACAGCCCGUGGGUUGCGAUGUGGGUGACCCACGAAGCCAGCGGGAGCGGCAUCCCCGCAGCGUGGCUGGGAGAAAUCUCGCGCAAAGCGAUAUCGUGUCGGUAAGAGAUGGCAGCUCGGCUUUCAUCCUCAUGCCAAAGGGAAUCCUCGGCGGAUGGCACAGGAUCUACUCCAGGGGAAGCGGUCCAGCAAGAGCCGAGGAGAGCCAGAAAUUCUCAACUUCAGUGAAGAUUCCUUGCUAGCACUCCACUGCAUACCACUCUGUCAGAAAUCCACGACCAAACCAUUCAUUCAGAUUUUUUUUUUGCUCUUCUGGAUUCACACAUAAAAACCCCACAGAGGUGUAUGCCUCACUAUUUAUUCACCUGGAUUGUCAUACUGAUCUUGUAGAGUGACACAGAGGUAAGCCAAAUUUAACUGUUCCUUUACACCAUAAGAAACUCCGUACAAUUCUAAUAUUAAUUAAGCAAGCAGCAGUUUUCUGCACCUGUUCAUAGAGCAGAGCAGCCUUACCAAUGGACAAUCAGCUGUACCACCACUACCAGAACAUCUGAAUUUCUUGGACAAAGUAAAACUAUUAAAAUUUUGUCUUCUUACUCCAACAUACACAAUAUUUUCAAGUCUUCCAAUACAAUACAGAUUGAAACUCUCAUAAGACAUUGGAUGCAAUUUCCAAUUUGAUACUUUUUUAAACUCAAAGACUAAAUAGUUGACUGCAAGUCAUUCAAAAACCACCAUAUUUUAGAACCAUUUUUCUGUUUCUACACACAAUCCAUCUCCUCAUCAAUAACAAUCUUUCACUAGGAUGUAGAAAUCAGUUUCUGAAUAUUUAAUUAUAGCUGGAAAAAGAUUACAAAAUACAAAGUUUCAUUGUACUUGAGACUAGAGAAAAGUACUACUUUCAUUUUUUCAUUUCCUUUGAA